AGCAAGGCAUGGUAAAAUCUACCCCUUGU
rnacentral:piRNA from 1 species